CACGGUGCUUCUAACAGCUCCUGGAACAUAGUAAACACUGUAUAGGGACUUACUCCCUGCACACUGUUCUUCCUGGCUGCCCCAUGAGUUCCUUCUCUUUCACUGUAGCUGGCUAUGAUUAUCAUUAUUUUACGCAAGCUACAGCUGGCAACAUUACCGGUUUGCCAUAGGCUUCUUCUUCAUGGCUGCAUCUACAUCCGGCCACCACGGUAAGUGUACUUGUUCAUCCUG